rnacentral:rRNA from 1 species
GUGGGUAGUUUGACUGGGGCGGUCUCCUCCUAAAGAGUAACGGAGGAGCACGAAGGUUGGCUAAUCCUGGUCGGACAUCAGGAGGUUAGUGCAAUGGCAUAAGCCAGCUUGACUGCGAGCGUGACGGCGCGAGCAGGUGCGAAAGCAGGUCAUAGUGAUCCGGUGGUUCUGAAUGGAAGGGCCAUCGCUCAACGGAUAAAAGGUACUCCGGGGAUAACAGGCUGAUACCGCCCAAGAGUUCAUAUCGACGGCGGUGUUUGGCACCUCGAUGUCGGCUCAUCACAUCCUGGGGCUGAAGUAGGUCCCAAGGGUAUGGCUGUUCGCCAUUUAAAGUGGUACGCGAGCUGGGUUUAGAACGUCGUGAGACAGUUCGGUCCCUAUCUGCCGUGGGCGCUGGAGAACUGAGGGGGGCUGCUCCUAGUACGAGAGGACCGGAGUGGACGCAUCACUGGUGUUCGGGUUGUCAUGCCAAUGGCACUGCCCGGUAGCUAAAUGCGGAAGAGAUAAGUGCUGAAAGCAUCUAAGCACGAAACUUGCCCCGAGAUGAGUUCUCCCUGAGACUUUAGGUCUCCUGAAGGAACGUUGAAGACGAC